AUGUGCGCUUCCUCCCCUGCCAGCGCGCUCCCUCCCUGCGGCCGACGCGCUCCCUCCCCGCGGCUGGCACGCUCACUCCCCGGCCGACACGCUCCCUCCCCGCGGUCGGUAUGCUCCCUCCCCAGCCCGCGCACUCCCUCCCUGCGGCCGGCGAGCUCCUUCCCCAGACUGCGCGCUCCCUUCCCACGGCCGGCGCGCGCCUGCCAAUUCUCCUUUGCGACCGGCGCGGUCCCUCCCCGCUGCAGUCCGCACCUCCUCCAUAGAUGGUCUGCACCGGCCGUUACAGCCCAUCGAGGUGGUGGCCAUCUUCCUCGACCCCGAUCCACAUCUGCCUGGGCUUCUAUGGCUGACCUGCCCAAUCGCCGACAGAUUCCUUCUCCAAAUAGUACAAUGGCCACUCCCGCUCUGCCUCCGACCUCCCUUCUCCCCCACACGGCGAAUGUCCUGCUCCCUACCACACCCAUACUGUUCUUUCUCCCCUGGAUGCAUCUAGUCUCUCUUCAAUUACAGGUCAGCACCAGCGUUGCGAACAAAAAAAGGUCAACAUCUGGUCCUCCAGAAGUUCAGUGUGUUGAUUUUCUGAAGAUCAUGAAGUGGACUAUAACUAUGUAUAUUUUGCAAGGCCUUGUGAUAGGGCAUCCAUCUUUUUUCAUCGAGGUCGCCAUCGUCCAUCUGCGUCGAGGCCACCCUGCCAUUGUAAAAUUCUGCUCUCAAAGGUGUCUGUUAUUGUGUAGUUUCAGAAAUCCUUCAGGAAAAAAUGCAAAAGAAAAAUGGAGCAGGAGUCGCAGGCCUCAAGCCCUCUCUCCACUUCGUGGCUUCUUGUUCUCAAAGCACAAGCUGCUACUGCUACUAUUAGUAAACUGCUUCUGCUCACUAUAA
rnacentral:rRNA from 1 species